UGAGGAAUCUUGCGCAAUGGGGGAAACCCUGACGCAGCAACGCCGCGUGAGUGAGGAAGGCCUUCGGGUCGUAAAGCUCUGUCGGGUGGGAAGAAAUGUAUGGGUGCUAAUACCAUCCAUACUUGACGGUACCGCCAAAGGAAGCACCGGCCAACUCCGUGCCAGCAGCCGCGGUAAUACGGGGGGUGCAAGCGUUGUUCGGAAUCAUUGGGCGUAAAGCGCGUGUAGGCGGCUGGGUAAGUCGGAUGUGAAAGCCCUGGGCUCAACCCAGGAAGUGCAUUCGAAACUGCCCGGCUGGAGUACGGGAGAGGGAAGAGGAAUUCCUGGUGUAGAGGUGAAAUUCGUAGAUAUCAGGAGGAACACCGGUGGCGAAGGCGCCUUCCUGGCCCGAUACUGACGCUGAGACGCGAGAGCGUGGGGAGCAAACA
rnacentral:rRNA from 1 species